UACGAAGGGGGCUAGCGUUGCUCGGAAUUACUGGGCGUAAAGCGCACGUAGGCGGCUCGUUAAGUCGGGGGUGAAAUCCUGGAGCUCAACUCCAGAACUGCCUUCGAUACUGGCGAGCUUGAGUUCGGGAGAGGUGAGUGGAACUGCGAGUGUAGAGGUGAAAUUCGUAGAUAUUCGCAAGAACACCAGUGGCGAAGGCGGCUCACUGGACCGGCAUUGACGCUGAGGUGCGAGAGCGUGGGGAGCAAACAGG
rnacentral:rRNA from 1 species